CAAUUCUAUCAGUUGAUAUCAGUUCGUUGAAAGGUGGUAUUUUAUGGCAAUGUUGCAUUCGAUUUGUAUAGUUACUAUAAGUGCCACCGUGCAUCAUGCCAACUGCUGUAAUUAUAAUGAACCCUAUUCUGGGAAGUCUGUACCAGUGUCUCUUUGUUGCAGCGGCAGAUGGCCGCUCACCUAGAGGCAGGGUCUCUCCGAGGUCUGCCUGUGAAAAGUUUUUUUCUCGCCGCUGUCAAACUAAAUGCUUGCUCGUGGGAAGUUGUUGGUUCUUUGUAAAUUAGAGAAUGGGUCUAGACCGACUCUAUCUGCAAAGUGUCCUGAUAUAACUCUUGUUGUGAUUUGACAUUGUAAAUAAAAUUUAAUUGAGAU